UACGUAGGGGGCAAGCGUUGUCCGGAAUCAUUGGGCGUAAAGCGCGUGUAGGCGGCCCGGUAAGUCCGCUGUGAAAGUCGGGGGCUCAACCCUCGAAUGCCGGUGGAUACUGUCGGGCUAGAGUGCGGGAGAGGCGAGUGGAAUUCCUGGUGUAGCGGUGAAAUGCGUAGAUAUCAGGAGGAACACCGGUGGCGAAGGCGCACAUCUGGCCCGAUACUGACGCUGAGGCGCGAAAGCUAGGGGAGCAAACGGG
rnacentral:rRNA from 1 species